AGGACUUCUCCUCCGCACAUGCCCGAACCACCUCAGCCUCGCUUCUCGCAUCUUCUCAUCCACCGGGGCCACCCCUACCUUCUCUCGAAUAGCUUCAUUCUUAAUCUUAUCUAGCCUGGUGUGCUCGCACAUCCACCUAAGCAUCCUCAUCUCCCAACCUUCAUUCUCUGAACAUGAGAGUUCUUCACGGGGCAGCACUCCGCCCCAUACAACAUCGCAGGUCUAACCACGGCUCAAUAGAAUUUUCCCUUGAGUUUGCGUGGAAUUUUCUUGUCACACAGGACUCCUGAUGCAAGCCUCCACUUUGACCACCCCGCUCCUAUACGAUGAGUGACGUCCCCGUCAAUCUCUN
rnacentral:lncRNA from 1 species